UUUAAUUGAUUUUAAAACCCAAAACCAAAAAACUUCUCGAAACUUUUUUAAAAAAAAGGAGACGCAUAUCAUUUCCCAACGGCUUCCUGAGCCAAAUUCAAAUUAUAAAGUUCCCCAACCCCUUUCUCUCUAAAAGAAAAAAAAGAAAAAAAAAGAAAAAGGUCCCCCAUCACUCUCAUUCCUCCUCCGCUGACUCCUCGGCUCGCUCCUCUCGGUCCGAGGCCUACAGCCGUCUCCAGGCGGAGGCGGCCUUCGGGGAGAAGCUACCGAUCCCAGAGAUCGUGGCCCUGGGUGUUCAAUCCGAUUUCAAGAGCUCUGUCCUCGAAGCCCUCCCUGGAUUCCGCUUCAACGUCCGCGAGGUCGAGAUGGGCACCCGCCGCCCCCUCAUUCUCCAGAUGGUCCACGACCCCUCCGCCCUCGAACGCGCUGCAACUUCCAGGUUGACAGGCUGAACAAGAUUAUUGCACAUAUUUCGCCGUAUCUGCACAAGCUCGAGGCAAGUUCAUUGUGGAUUAGGAUGUCUUGGAUGUGAUGUAGAAGCAUGCUGUGGUUAUGCACCUCUCCCCAAGCUUGAUGAGUGUUUACUAAGAACUCAAUAUUCUUGAAGUAUUAUCAAGAAUAAGAAAAAGUAUUGUGAGGACCAAGUUGAGAAGCCUACACUCUCGAUUAUAUUUAGUAAUUGGUGAGAAGAUUUGAAGGUUUCAUAAUCCCUGAGGUCGCACGUUUUUCAUUGAGGAGCAAGAAGAAAAGAUUUUGCCCAAAACCCAAGGAUUGGCCAAAACAUCAAGUAAGUGGUUUCAGCUUUUGCAGUUUGUUUUAAAAUAACGUAGUUCUUCACUUGUUCUUUCUAAAAUUUUCCAAGAAAAAUUGGCUUGGGCAUCAAAUGCCACGUGACAUUUAUUGCAUUGUUAAACAUGUUAGGGCAUAGUUUUCAUCAAAAUCAUGUCCCAUGCAUUCAUAUUUUUAUUUUUAAAACAAAGCUGGAAAAAUAUUUUUCAAAGCCACAAAAGCCCUGGCCGCAUAUCCAGUGGUUUUAUCCAGGUUUGUUCAAAUUUUUUAAAAGUGGAUUUAUUACCCUUUUGCAGCCCCCAUUCUCUCACUUUUCUACCAAAAAUUCCAGAGAACACAAAAAUGCUAGCUCCCUAAGCUCCGCAGACCCCUUUGUGCUUGUAGAAAAUUUUGUUUUCUCUCAUUCUCUCAUCAAUAGUGCAGCACCUCAAGCACAAGUUCUUUCAUCAAUUCAUCAAUUCCCUUUGUGAGUUUUCAUUAUCCUAUGCUUGUUUUAUUCAAAUAGUUUGUAUAUUGUAUAGUUUUCAUGAAAUCAUGUUAGAAUAGGUUAUGUUUGCAUGGGAGCAUGUCAUAGAUUGCAUGAACAAAUGAUUUGAUGUUGUUUUGUUACAUGAUAGUAUCAUAGAAUCAUGUUUUAUUUUCUGUUCUAUUCAGUUUUCAAAACACCCUAAACUGAUAUUUCUUAAACUACCCGAAAACCAUGUUUAUUUGACAUUUUUGCAAAUAUUGAGUCUUUUUUAUUUCUAAUCACCGAACCAACUUAAUAUUUUCCAGAUUGACUGUUUUUCAUGCAUGACAAAUAUUUCCAAAGGGACCUAUAUGAUCGGCCAAGCCUCAGACAACUUUUUCUUGAUGCAACUUUCAUGUUUUCAAUUCCUCGAUUACAUAGUUGGUGUGUGAUGUUUUAAAACCUCAAAAGUAGUUUUCAAAAACUAAUUUUAGGGAUGAUUUUAGGUUCUGGACAGAAACUCCAGAGACCUAUAAAUCAGUUCUAAGGUCCUUUAAUCAUGAGUUUUAAGCAUCCAAACCACACUGUAUUGAUCUAGGCAUGUUUCGAGUCAUGUAGUAGCAAAAAAAAAAUCAAACUCAUGUGCAUCAUGUACAGAUUUGGUUGAAUUUUGUAGUUGUGUUUCAGAUACUCAGAAUUGAUCCAUAUAGGCUUUGGUUAUUGCUUCCAAGAGGCCUCAUGCUAACUAGAGUUAGUCUAGUUAGUAGCCUUGAAAGCAUGUUUAGAAAUAUUGUGUUUAAUAGUUCCUUCGGCUGAGGAGUUCAUUGAGGUGAUAGAGGUUGUUGUUUUCCCAAGCUCGUAUAUUUUAUUAUACAUAUAUGUUUGUAAGUUUUGCAAAGGAGGUUUGAAAGC